rnacentral:rRNA from 1 species
UACGUAGGGUGCAAGCGUUUGUCCGGAAUUAUUGGGCGUAAAGAGCUCGUAGGCGGUUUGUCGCGUCGAAUGUGAAAACCCGGGGCUCAACCCCGGGCCGCAUUCGAUACGGGCAGACUAAGAGUUCGGUAGGGGAGUCUGGAAUUCCUGGUGUAGCGGGUGAAAUGGCGGCAGAUAUCAGGAGGAACACCAGGUGGCGAAGGCGGCUUCCUGGUCUGCGACUGACCGCUGUGGCGCGAAAGCUAGGGGGAGCAAACGGG